AGCCAGUGAAGAGACACAUCCCCAGUUUAUGGGAAUCACAGAGAAAUCAGGACUGCCAUCUUCCUGGAAGAACUGGCCCUUCCAAACCAGUUGUUACACAACCCGCUCUGAGUCCUGCUGGGAUGUGCAGAGGAGGAGCUGUACGAGGUCUUCAGGGCUGACACAGUUUCAUAUUAUCUCCCUUUCCGAGAGGAGCAUUUCUUCCUUUCCUCCAGCAUGAACCUGUCCUGAAGUACAGAAGAACAACACUGACUAUUUGUUAAUGCCGACAGCAGAAUUAUUUAAUCUUCCCCUGCUCUAACCAGUCCUGCAGUCUGCUGCUGCCUGCCAUGUGAGGCUUUGGAUCUGCACUAGCUCCUGAGAGGGUUCCGCUCCAGACAGCAGCUCCAGGCACGGAAGCGGCGCCGUGGGCCCACCGGGACCCGCUGGCACCUGGCACACGUGGGCCAAGGGCCCGAGCUUGGCACCCCCGGCACCCGGCACGGCUCGUCCGAGGGCUGUGCACCCCUGUGCUGCUCUGGGGAACAUCUGUGUGCUGGAACUGCACUGCCAGCCUUUGGGAGAUGGCCUCUGCUGCUGGGGAAGCAGUUUGUGUGUUUACCGUGGCUUUAAGUUGAAAUGGGAUAUUCAGAUUAGAUACCAGAAAAACGUUUUCACUGUUUGGGUGCUCAGGCACUGGAAUAGGUGGAUUCACCAUCCCCGGAGGUGUUCAAGAAGCAUCUGGAUGUGGCACUGGGCGAUGAGGUUUAUUGGUUUAGGGGUUACACAGCUGGGUCUAUGGUUGGACUUGGUGCUCUUACAGGUCUCUUCCAGCCUCGGUGGUUCUGGGAUUCUGGGACUGUAUCUCUUGCUCUGGUGGUUCUGGCAUUCUGUGACUGUAUCUCUUGCUCAGUCCUUUUCCUGACCCCUUCUGGGAGGGUUCUCCUGGCCAGGGCCAGUGCAGAGCCUGCAGGCUCCGGGCUGUGGACAGUGCAGGGCAGCAGUGCCGUGCCAUCGGGAUGGGAGCGUGUCCCACCCUGCCUGCCACCAGCGGCUUCCUCAGCUCCUGGGGCAGAAGCCUGUCCUGGGUCUGAUAUUCCGUACUUGAAUGUUUGGUUUACAGGACUGUCAGGUUCACUUUGCAAAUGCUUUGUUUUGUACACCUUUUUUAUGUUUUGUGCACCCUUUUUAAUAUGCAGUGUGAGGAAGUACAUUUCAAUCACUUGAAAUGCUCUUUGUGAGAACAAAAAUGCCCCUUUCCCCAUGGUUCUGCUCUCUUUUAUUAAUGACAUUUUAAGAUUGGCAAGUAUUGAGAGUUUCCUCAGUUUAAAAAUUCAUCAUCUA